rnacentral:rRNA from 1 species
UACGGAGGGUGCAAGCGUUAUCCGGAUUUACUGGGUUUAAAGCGUGUGUAGGCGGACUUCUAAGUACCUUGUGAAAUCCCACGGCUCACCCGUGGAACUGCUCGGUAUACUGGUCGUCUUGAGCCUUCUAGGGGCGAGUGGAACAAAUGGUGGAGCGGUGAAAUGCGUAGAUAUCAUUUGGAACGCCAAUGGUGAAAACAACUCGCUGGGGAAGUGCUGACGCUGAGACACGAAAGCCAGGGGAGCGAACGGG